rnacentral:rRNA from 1 species
UACGUAGGGUGCGAGCGUUUAAUCGGAAUUACUGGGCGUAAAGCGUGCGCAGGCGGUUCGUUGUGUCGGCGGUGAAAGCCCCGGGCUCAACCUGGGAAUGGCCGUUGAAACUGGCGAACUGGAGUGUGGCAGAGGGGGGUGGAAUUCCGCGUGUAGCAGUGAAAUGCGUAGAGAUGCGGAGGAACACCGAUGGCGAAGGCAGCCCCCCUGGGCUGACACUGACGCUCAGGCACGAAAGCGUGGGGAGCAAACAGGAUUA